UACGAAGGGGGCUAGCGUUGCUCGGAAUCACUGGGCGUAAAGCGCACGUAGGCGGAUUGUUAAGUCAGGGGUGAAAUCCUGGAGCUCAACUCCAGAACUGCCUUUGAUACUGGCGAUCUUGAGUCCGGGAGAGGUGAGUGGAACUGGCGAGUGUAGAGGUGAAAUUCGUAGAUAUUCGCAAGAACACCAGUGGCGAAGGCGGCUCACUGGCCCGGUACUGACGCUGAGGUGCGAAAGCGUGGGGAGCAAACAGG
rnacentral:rRNA from 1 species